rnacentral:rRNA from 1 species
GACGGAGGGGGCUAGCGUUGUUCGGAAUUACUGGGCGUAAAGCGCACGUAGGCGGCCUUUCAAGUCAGAUGUGAAAGCCCCGGGCUUAACCCGGGAAUUGCAUUUGAUACUGUUAGGCUUGAGACCGGGAGAGGGAUGCAGAAUUCCAGGUGUAGCGGUGAAAUGCGUAGAUAUCUGGAGGAAUACCGGUGGCGAAGGCGGCAUCCUGGACCGGCAUUGACGCUGAGGAGCGAAAGCUAGGGGAGCAAACGGG